AUUGAACGCUGGCGGCAGGCCUAACACAUGCAAGUCGAGCGAGCGGCGGACGGGUGAGUCCUGUCUGGGAACCUGCUUGAUGGGGGGGGAUAACUACUGGAAACGGUAGCUCAUACUACAUACCAUUGGACGUGCCUCGAUGGGGUUAGCUAGUAGGGUGGGUAACGGCUCACCAAGGCGACCAUCCCUAGCUGGUCUGAGAGGAUGACCAGCCACACUGUAACUGAGACACGGUCCAGACUCCUACGGGAGGCAGCAGUGGGGAAUAUUGGACAAUGGGCGCAAGCCUGAUGCAGCCAUGCCGCGUGUAUGAAGAAGGCCUUCGGGUUGUAAAGUACUUUCAGCGGGGAGGCGUUACCCGCAGAAGAAGCACCGGCUAACUCCGUGCCAGCAGCCGCGGUAAUAC
rnacentral:rRNA from 1 species